rnacentral:misc_RNA from 1 species
AAGUCGUAACAAGGUAACCGUAGGUGAACCUGCGGUUGGAUCAUUACAAAUUAUCGGUGGUGGUUUCUUGUUUCUUACGGGAUUCCACUUAAAAAACACCGUUAAACCUUUAUGUGAACUUGUAUAUGUUCUUGGUGGACGAGUCCUUGGGACUCUUCAACGCUGUGAGAAGGACGUGGGGGAACGUGUGAACCUAGGUUAGCGCGUUUCUCCACGUUAUCACGGGCCACCAACAAUGUUUGAACCUAUGUUUUUGUUUCUUUUGGUCUUUCUUUAACGUCUCCUUGAUUGGAGUGUUAAUACAAAUUGAAAACAACUUUUGGCAACGGAUCUCUUGGCUCUC